GUGAAUCAUCGAAUUUUUGAACGCAAAUUGCACUCUCUUCGGAGAGUAUGCCUGUUUGAGGGUCAGCCUAAAAAAAAUCGACAUAGUUGCUGUUACGCGGUAAAAUUCUUCGGAAUUUGGUUCUUCUUAAACUUUUGGUUUUAGGCGGCUUAAAAUUUUCUUUAGGUUUCAAGGAACGUUUUAAGGAUUUUUUUUUUUUUUCGUUUUAGG
rnacentral:misc_RNA from 1 species